GCGACUAAAUGGUCUCAUUUUGCGACAAAUUUUCCUGCCAGUGCGACAAGUUUUUCUUAAUGGUCACACCAGUGCGACUGUCAAACUGAUCAAUAUAUAAUUUUUGCGUAUUAUAAAUUUAAUGCGCAGAAAUGUUAUAUUGCGCAAGCUGCGCAUUCAGUCACUCAUUUUAGUCUCCCCUCCUUCAACCAUUCCUUAUCUAUCAGUGCCCCGCCCCCAAAGACGUAAUUCGCGGGUCACGGGUAAGAGGCGAAGGACCGAAAGAGCAGACGAGUGAAGCGCUCAAUCUUGCAACUUAAAUAAAUAUGCAGAAUACAAGAAUUUCCCCUGCUAAGGCAUUCUGACUUAUUACACUGUGGAGCGGUCACAGCAAUAAAAGAUCCCGGCCAUGAGUCGGAACCACAGGCGGAUUGGUUCCCAUUUUCCAGAUUUGGUACUAAAAGCA